CGUUUCAUUUCAACUCUGAGCGUCCACGGACGCAGUAUCUCUCCUAACUUUCUCCAUCUAUUUCUUUUUUUUUUAUUCUUUUUUUUUUAUUUCUCCUUCUCUCAACUCAAGAACGAUCCUUAAACAAGUGCUAAUAACAUCUUUCCUCUACAAAAUUUAAUACGUCUUAAAUUAAUCCCGAAAUCGAACGAACGAAAGCUGAUAGUACACGAUGAAGCCCACAAAAACGACGAGUUCGUUUACACGGAAGAUGAUGAUGGCCUCAGAGCCGGCCAACGGUAAUAGCAUGCCGUCGGUCAUCCUGGGGUCGUCCUCGGUGGUGGGAACCAGUUCGGCCGCCUCGUCCAUGUCGAGCCUGACGCUCCGUGACCAGCAGCACCACGUCGAAGGAGCCAAGGAGCGCAAAGAGCGACAGAUGCGUCGCUUGGCCGCCGAAAUGGACGACCAACGAUCAAAAUUUGAACGCGACAAGGCGGAAGCGCUGAGCCAUCAAAAGGAGGCCAUGAACCGCGCCUUUCGCGUCCAGCUGGCCAAAUUGCUCAAAGAGAAGGAGGAGCUGCAGCGAAAAUGUCAGACGCUGCAGUCCAAGGAGCCGAACGGAAAAAUCACCGGCAACGGCCUCGCUAAUGCAGCGGCCGCCUCGAGCCAAGCGGCCGCCGCUGAAAUGCUGAAAUUAAUUCACGAAAAUUCCAUCCUGCGCAUCGACAAGAAGAAACAGGAGGAACAACUGCAGCUGAUGAGGGAAAGUGAGCAGCACCGGUUCGAGAAUAUGCGCAGUCUACUUGAUGACAAGGCUCGUGAGUUGAUCACGUUCCAGAAGCAGUUGCGGCAACAGAUCGCCCGUUUGCGUGAGGAAUCCCGGACCAAAGAUCGUGUCAUUUCUCACCUGGAAUCGGAGCUGCGCGUUCAAACCGGACGGGCCCAGCAAUUCCGCGACAUCCUCGAGCAGUCACUCCUCACGGCCGCCAGCCGUGGCAGCCUUUCCGGUCAACAACACAACCACAAUGAGCGCGACGAACUGAUUGCCCGCGAACGCAAACUCCAAGUCCUGGUGGAUGAUCUUCGGGAGACGAUGCGGCAUCAGCAAGACACCUUCGCUCACGAGAAAAAAGAACUGCUCCGCCGGUUAAGUGAGACGGAACGCCAGCAAGGUUCAUUGCGCCAGAAGAACAAACAGGUCCUGACCCGCAACGUCCAGUUGGCUGUCAAGAGCCAAGAAUUAGCCGAAACAGUCAAGAACCUCCAGCAACAGCCGCCGGCCGGUGGAAAUAUGUCGACGGCAGCACCCGACACAACCAAUUUGAAGAGAAGUUUGACGAGACCCAACGUUAAUCAACUAGGCUCGCCAUCCAAGAAUGACAAGCAGCGGCGAAUGGAGUACGUCCAACAAAUCCAGAAAUUGCGCAAAGAGCAACGCUACUACUCCAUGUGGGAACUGCCGCCAUUGCUCGAAGUCGACACGGACGGCCUGGGCUCUGAUGGCAAUGCCGACUCGGACGGUUCCUUGUCUCCGGCCGCUACCUCGGGCGUUACGUCCUGUUCUUCCGACUCGGCCUGGAGCGAGGACACGCGACGGGAAUUGGAAGUGUUGUUCUCACAGCUGUCGCGGGAGCAUUCCGAUUUGCAGCGCAACUACCAACUGCUCCACGAGAAGUUGCGCCAGCUGACGUGCUUUUCCGACGCCGACGCGGCCAACGUCAACUACGCCACCUUGCAGGCCGACUACAACGCGGCCAGAGCCCGAAUCCGCGACCUGGAGGAGAUCCUGCAGCUGAAAAACAAUCGCGAACGAGAGGCCAGUGACGGAGCCAACGCCGGACGCCCGACGGUCGUUCCUUCUCUGCUGGAAAUCCAGGCCAAAUUCGUUCGCGAGAAGCACAUCCAGCAAACGCAGAUGGCCAUCCUGGUCAAACGUCUCGAGGAGGCCAAAGACAGGCACCAAUCUGUCCAGGCGGAGCUGAACGAAGCGCGAGAUCAGAACGAGUUGCUCGAGUUCCGCAUUCUCGAAUUGGAAGAGAUCCAAGAAAGGGCGCCGUCACAGUGCUCGACCGAUCAGCGCGACCGUAAGGAUGUCUGCACCGACACGGAUUCGGAUGACGUAUCGGUCGGAGAUUCGGGCAUUACUUCGCUGGCUUCACUCAUGGUCGAAUGUCCGUCACCAGUCUUGCCCAGAAGCCCGUGCAGCAGCGGAUCGUCACUGGACUCUGACUACCUGGGCGAAAAGAUCUCGUCGGUCAAAGCAGAACUGCAAUUGAUGGUCUCCUCGCUAAAUGAUCCGUCUCAGAAAACCGUGCUGGCCCAGCUUCAGGCGCUGUUGGGCGUCUGCCAGUCUCGACUGGCCCACAAGAGUCCCGUCGCCAGUGAGACUUCCAACUGGGACUGGCAGCUGCAGGAGAGUGGCAUCUUUGAAGAGGACCACCACCAUUCCACCGAUGGAUCCACUCAGACGGACGCCGUCGAGUUCGAUGGACACAAUGGCGAUGUCAGCAUCCGGGUGACGGUCCCGUUGCCUCUUUGCGGACGAGUGACCGAAGACAAGGAAGUUCAAAUGUCUCCCGCCGAGUUGGAAGAUAAAUCCGUGCAAACAAUGACGGAUGUCCAGGAUUUUGCGGUCCAAACUGAUUUGAUUGUCUGUCAUUCCGCCGGCGCAGAAGAAAAGUCCUAUCGAGAUCAGGGCGUUCAGUUCUACGAGGAACGGCCCAUGUUCGCGGAAGAAGAUUCCCAGACGGAUGGGCAGGUGAUGACCCUGGAGGAAUUCCGCGACGUUGAGAGCUACUACGUCCAGCAGAUUGAAAUCCUGCAGAAGGAGAAGGCCAGCCAUCGCAAAAAGUUCCAGGCCAGUCGGGACGAAACGACCAAGUCGGUGCAGCAGCUGGAACUGUUGGGCCGCCAGUUUCAAGAGCGCGAGCGGCAAUUCGAAGAGAUUUUGCAGAAGAACUGCCGCGCAUUCGAGCGGGAACUCGAAACGGCCCGCGAACUCAACAACAACGAGCUCUCCACGCUCAAGGAAUGUCUCCAGCUGGUCUGGCACGAAGUCAAAGACUACGCCAAUGUGACGGACAUGCCCAAAACGUCGGUCAUGGAGUUCACUCAGGCGCUGAUCAGUUCGCUUCACGGAAUUUGCAACGAGCUGGGCCAACUGAGAGUCCGUGUAGUCGAUCUCGCCGAUAUGGAGCAAGCCUUCCAGACGACGUUGCGACAGGCAGACGGGCUCGUCCAUCACAUGGAAGAGAAGCAUCUGCAGCGCAUCAGAGAGCUGGAACAUAUAGAACACGAACUUAGGAUCCAGUUGAAUCAUCCGACUGGAAGUCACCAAAGCUACGACAUGGAUGGAAGUCUCGAAAUCAAAAUACAAGAACUGGAGCAGGAAAAGGACGCUCUGUCGUUGCAGGUCGGCAAGUGCCAAGAAUUGGAAGACUAUUGCCAACGACUUCAUGGCCGGCUGGAAGAGUAUGAGCAACGUGAACGAAGCUUGCAUCAAGCCGUCCAAGAUACGGAACGCCGCUUUUCCACCAGAGAGCAAAGAUAUCGCGAAGAAAUUCAGUUGAUGAAAACAGAGCUGGACAAGUGUCGCGAAAAUGAAGCGACCUGGCGUCAACGACUGGAGCAGAGGGACAGUCAACUGGGCCUCAUGAGGAACGAACUGGAGGCCGAACAAAAGACCAUCGCCAGUUUAGAGUUAGAAGUCAAGGAGUUGCAAUCCAAAUUAGAUAAGGACGACACCUCCUUCAGAAACGAGGUGACCAAGUUGCGUUCGCAGCUCACUACCUCUCUGGCGCAGCUGAACGAGCUCGAGUCACUUAACUGCCAACUUCGCGAGAAAAUCGUCGAAUACCAGAACACGAUUUACUCUCUGCAGAGGAGCCUAGACGAGAAGAGUUGCCAAAAUGGGAAUCUAAUGGCAGAAAAUAACCGACUGGCCCAGGCUCAGAUGGAAAUUAUGAGCAUGUCUAUGGUCGCCAUGGCCAAACCGCUGACUGAAGAGCUGCUAGAAAUCGAGUCGGAUGAAGGCUGCAUGUCACCCGAACCUGUCGCCGCCACAAGCGAAACCGCUGCUACGCUGGACGACUUUCAAGAAAUUUCAUUGCCCACGACGCCGACCGUUGUGGACGGCUGCAACAACGUCUUUGAGGAACAUUUCAAAGUACUCGAGUCGUUGGAGAGUUACCUGGAAACGCAGCAUCUGACUGGAGCGACGGCCGAAGAUAACGACGAGUCGGGAAUUUCCACAUCACCUUCGAUUCACGAGAACGAGAAUUUUGCGCUGUUGGAAGCUCAGUUGUCGCAGCUUCGAACCGAGAAGCACUUUUUGCUCAAUUCGGUUGUCAACAGUCAGAAGAAAGAUGAGGUCAUUCAAAUCUUGGUCGACCAACUCAAAUACAACGCGCCCCGUCAAUACCUGAUUGAAACGGCGGCGCAUAUCCGCAAGAUCGCCACUAAUGGCGACUACGACGCGAACCAACAUCGCACGCAUGACAAAGAUAUCGAUCGCGUUUGCUCCAUGCUGGAAGCCCCGAUUGAUCUGAAAUCACUCGUCUAAAUCUCUCUAUAUCUCGUUUCGGGUGAUGGCCAUUUUCGUUUCUAUUUUUGACCAAAAAUUAUGUAACCACUCACGGCAAUGACCGACCUAACGACUGAGG
rnacentral:misc_RNA from 1 species